rnacentral:rRNA from 1 species
AUUGAACGCUGGCGGCAGGCCUAACACAUGCAAGUCGAACGGUAACAGGAAGAAGCUUGCUUCUUUGCUGACGAGUGGCGGACGGGUGAGUAAUGUCUGGGAAACUGCCUGAUGGAGGGGGAUAACUACUGGAAACGGUAGCUAAUACCGCAUAACGUCGCAAGACCAAAGAGGGGGACCUUCUGGCCUCUUGCCAUCGGAUGUGCCCAGAUGGGAUUAGCUAGUAGGUGGGGUAACGGCUCACCUAGGCGACGAUCCCUAGCUGGUCUGAGAGGAUGACCAGCCACACUGGAACUGAGACACGGUCCAGACGCCUACGGGAGGCAGCAGUGGGGAAUAUUGCACAAUGGGCGCAAGCCUGAUGCAGCCAUGCCGCGUGUAUGAAGAAGGCUUUCGGGUUGUAAAGUACUUUCAGCGGGGAGGAAGGGAGUAAAGUUAAUACCUUGGCUUAUUGACGUUACCCGCAGAAGAAGCACCGGCUAACUCCGUG